rnacentral:rRNA from 1 species
AUGGGUGGCUGCUGCUGUUGUGCAUCAAGAGCGGAGGCGGAUAGAGCACCGGUUCAUAUCUAUCAUCAGCAAAACCAAGAGGAGCAUGAACCUUUAUCUUCUGCCUUUGACGGGUCAUCUCCAGCUUCUGCUAUAGUCGCAGUUGACACAAAUCUGGACACAUCCACUCCUGACACUUACCGGGCACCACCUGCACCAUUGCCUUAUGAUGUUAGUUUGCCAGUUACAGAAAACCCAGAUCUGGAGAAGUCAGAUAUUAAAAGCAAAACAGAUGAUCAGCAGGAAUCUCUGAAGGUGGAUGAAUACGAAUCAUGUGAAAAAGGUGCCCCUGAAGAUAAGAUUGAGGAGGAGGAUGUUUGCCCUAUCUGCCUUGAAGAAUAUGAUGAAGAAAAUCCCCGCUCUAUCACCAAAUGCGAGCAUCAUUUCCAUCUUUGUUGCAUACUCGAAUGGAUGGAGCGAAGUGAGACUUGCCCAGUCUGUGACCAGAUAACUUUGAUAGAUGAGAUGUAUGAAUAG